GAUCAACGCUGGCGGCGUGCCUAAUGCAUGCAAGUCGGACGGGGUCCGCUUCGGCGGGCUUACGUGGCGGACGGGUGCGGAACACGUGGGCAACCUGCCCUGUCGGUGGGGGAUAGCCGUGGGAAACCGCGGGUAAUUCCGCAUACGCUCGCCCGUCGGUGGGACGGGUGAGGAAAGGGUCUUCGGACUCGCCGGAGGAGGGGGCUGCGGCCGAUUAGCUAGACGGUGGGGUAACGGCUUACCGUGGCGAUGAUCGGUAGCUGGUCUGAGAGGACGGCCAGCCACACGGGGACUGAGAGACGGCCCCGACUCCUACGGGAGGCAGCAGCAAGGAAUCUUCCGCAAUGGGGGCAACCCUGACGGAGCAACGCCGCGUGGGGGAUGAGGCCCUUCGGGGUGUAAACCCCUUUUCUUCGGGAUGAAGUUCUGACAGUACCGGAGGAAGAAGGACCGGCUAACUACGUGCCAGCAGCCGCAGUAAGAC
rnacentral:rRNA from 1 species